GAUGAACGCUGGCGGCGUGCCUAACACAUGCAAGUCGAGCGGGAUUGUGGAGUAGCUUGCUACGAAGCAAUCUAGCGGCGGACGGGUGAGUAACGCGUGGGCAACCUGCCUUAUACAGGGGGAUAACACACCGAAAGGUGUGCUAAUACCCCAUAACACCGAUGCUUCGCAUGGAGUGCCGGUCAAAGAUUUAUCGGUAUAGGAUGGGCCCGCGUCUGAUUAGCUAGUUGGUGAGGUAAAGGCUCACCAAGGCGACGAUCAGUAGCCGACCUGAGAGGGUGAUCGGCCACACUGGAACUGAGACACGGUCCAGACUCCUACGGGAGGCAGCAGUGGGGAAUAUUGCACAAUGGGGGGAAACCCUGAUGCAGCAACGCCGCGUGAGCGAUGAAGGCUUUCGGGUCGUAAGCUCUGUCCUAUGGGAAGGAUAAUGACGGUACCAUAGGAGGAAGACCCCGGCCUAACUACGUGCCAGCAG
rnacentral:rRNA from 1 species